rnacentral:rRNA from 1 species
AGCGAACGCUGGCGGCAGGCUUAACACAUGCAAGUCGAGCGGGCCCUCCGGGGUCAGCGGCGGACGGGUGAGUAACGCGUGGGAACGUGCCUUCUGGUUCGGAAUAACUCAGGGAAACUUGAGCUAAUACCGGAUACGCCCUUUUGGGGAAAGGUUUACUGCCGGAAGAUCGGCCCGCGUCUGAUUAGCUAGUUGGUGGGGUAACGGCCUACCAAGGCGACGAUCAGUAGCUGGUCUGAGAGGAGGAUCAGCCACACUGGGACUGAGACACGGCCCAGACUCCUACGGGAGGCAGCAGUGGGGAAUAUUGGACAAUGGGCGCAAGCCUGAUCCAGCCAUGCCGCGUGAGUGAUGAAGGCCUUAGGGUUGUAAAGCUCUUUUAUCCGGGACGAUAAUGACGGUACCGGAGGAAUAAGCCCCGGCUAACUUCGUG